rnacentral:rRNA from 1 species
UACGAAGAGGGCUAGCGUUGCUCGGAAUCACUGGGCGUAAAGGGUGCGUAGGCGGCCAACUAAGUCAGACGUGAAAUCCCUCGGCUUAACCGGGGAACUGCAUCUGAUACUGGAUGGCUUGAGUUCGGGAGAGGGAUGCGGAAUUCCAGGUGUAGCGGUGAAAUGCGUAGAUAUCUGGAGGAACACCGGUGGCGAAGGCGGCAUCCUGGACCGACACUGACGCUGAGGAGCGAAAGCCAGGGGAGCAAACGGG